UCCUGAGUUACCAGCCUGCAUCCUCCUCCAUCAGAUUUUGGACUCAUCAAGCCUCCACAAUCAUAUAAAGGUGACCCUAGAAGCAUGGCCAUAAACUACCUCAAGAAUGGACAUCUUCAACCAAGUCAAUUAGCAGCAACUGUCCAAAUAUCUGGUUCAUAUGCUGUCUGUAGCCUCCUUGACCCAAACUACCAACUCUGAAACAUGAAAGAGUAGAGGAAGAAGAAGAGGAAGACUGGGUUGUUCUGUUUUAGACACAGGCUGAGUCAUUGCAGCCAGAUUCAAUCAGUGCAAAAGAGAAGGAUUUGGAACAAUUUGGUUAGUUUCCUUCCACCCAAAUGUCUAGACACCCGAAGGGGUGUGCAGCCCGACCUCUCGCUAUUCCUGUUAAAGGCUUCUCUUCAUGGAAAAUGUCAUUGGUUAUAUGGUUUGUUUGUAUUAUCUUUGAACUUAAUGUAUACUAUUCUACCUUUGUCAACAUUCAUUCCCAUUUUCUGUAAGCUUUAAACUAUCCCAGAUGCUGAGUAAAUGUGCAUUUGCUGGAA
ensembl:lncRNA novel transcript